AGGACGAACGCUGGCGGCGUGCCUAACACAUGCAAGUCGAGCGGAAAGGCCUCCUUCGGGAGGUACUCGAGCGGCGAACGGGUGAGUAACACGUGGGCAACCAACCCCUCACAUCGGGAUACCCCGGGGAAACUCGGAUCAAUACCGGAUAAUGCGCGACGCUGUUGGGCGUCGCACCAAAGGUAGCUUCGGCCUCUGGUGAGGGACGGGCCCGCGGCCCAUUAGCUUGUUGGUGGGGUAAUGGCCUACCAAGGCAACGAUGGGUAGCUGGUCUGAGAGGAUGAUCAGCCACACUGGGACUGAGAUACGGCCCAGACUCCUACGGGAGGCAGCAGUGGGGAAUAUUGCGCAAUGGGCGGAAGCCUGACGCAGCAACGCCGCGUGCGGGAGGAAGGCCUUGGGUCGUAAACCGCUUUCAGGGGGGACGAAGCCACCAGGGUUAAUAGCCCAUGGGGUGACGGUACUCCCAGAAGAGCCCCGGCUAACUACGUGCCAGCAGCCGC
rnacentral:rRNA from 1 species